CCUACGGGUGGCUGCAGUGAGGAAUAUUGGUCAAUGGGCUUACGCCUGAACCAGCCAAGUCGCGUGAGGGAAGACUGCCCUAUGGGUUGUAAACCUCUUUUGUCAGGGAGCAACGCCGGCUACGUGUAGCCGGACUGAGAGUACCUGAAGAAAAAGCAUCGGCUAACUCCGUGCCAGCAGCCGCGGUAAUACGGAGGAUGCGAGCGUUAUCCGGAUUUAUUGGGUUUAAAGGGUGCGUAGGCGGGCAUUUAAGCCGGCGGUCAAAUGUCGGGGCUCAACCCCGGCCUGCCGUCGGAACUGGGUGCCUUGAGUGGGCGAGAAGUAUGCGGAAUGCGUGGUGUAGCGGUGAAAUGCAUAGAUAUCACGCAGAACCCCGAUUGCGAAGGCAGCAUACCGGCGCCCUACUGACGCUGAGGCACGAAAGUGCGGGUAUCGAACAGGAUUAGAUACCCGGGUAGUC
rnacentral:rRNA from 1 species